AACGAACGCUGGCGGCAUGCCUAACACAUGCAAGUCGAACGAGACCUUCGGGUCUAGUGGCGCACGGGUGCGUAACGCGUGGGAACCUGCCCUUAGGUUCGGAAUAACUCCCCGAAAGGGGUGCUAAUACCGGAUAAUGUCUUCGGACCAAAGAUUUAUCGCCUUUGGAUGGGCCCGCGUUGGAUUAGCUAGUUGGUAGGGUACAAGCCUACCAAGGCAACGAUCCAUAGCUGGUCUGAGAGGAUGAUCAGCCACACUGGGAAUAAGACACGGCCCAGAACCCUACGGGAGGCAGCAGUGGGGAAUAUUGGACAAUGGGCGAAAGCCUGAUCCAGCAAUGCCGCGGGAGUGAGGAAGGCCUUAGGGUUGUAAAGCUCUUUUACCCGGGAUGAUAAUGACAGUACCGGGAGAAUAAGCUCCGGCUAACUCCGUG
rnacentral:rRNA from 1 species